CUGAAAACGACGUCGUUUUCAACUUCAGCACUGUUUCUCCACAUCUCUACGACUGAUUUCGCGUGUUCCUCUUCUUCUCCACCCACCCCACCGUACCAGUCAUCACCUUCUGAUUCGUGAUUUCUCUUCCACAUCCUUCUUUUUCUCCACAUCAAUCUGAAACCCGACCUGUGUGAUUCUGUGUAUCCUUCCUCUUUCCACCCACUUCUCACCAAUCCAUCAAGUGGGUCUUUUCCGAUUGAUCUGAUGAAGUUUUACUUUCGGCCGCCGCUUGAUGUUUCCAACCAUUCACAUCUCUACACCUCAAUCCCUCAACUAUUCAUUCGUCAUCCCUUCUCAUCAGUUGCCCAACUUUUAGGGUUGAAUGCAUCAACAAAGGUUCAUCUUUGCGGCAUACUUGCUUCCUGGGGAUUUAAGCAGAGAAGGAAGAAUUGAAUGUAUGCAAAAAUGGCAUGGAGAGUUGUUUUAGAUUCUGGAGUGUUGGGGUUGUGCUGUUUUGCCUUUGGAAGAGAGCCUUGCGGGUUUGUUGAUGGCUUAUGGCUAUAUAUGGAUACAAAGAGACCCCUCUAUGUAUAGUUUAUGUAGUUAGCCUUUGGGCAUUUGGUAUUCCCUUAUCUUUCUUUGUUCUGUUUUAGUCUUAGUUUAGUCAUUCCUUCUGUUUUCUCCUCUAUUGUAAUUCUAUUGUAUUUAGGUUGAGGCACCCCCUUGUGCUCCCUUUAAUACAACUCUUUGGCUUAUAAAAAACUUCAAUAAUUACUUUGAAGAGCAAAAAGAGAUGGAAUGCAGGUUUUUCUCCCUUUUACUAAUGCUGUCAUACUACUAAAGGAAAGGGAAAUAUUUCUCAGCGGUUGAAUUUGUAUUUUUAUAUUUUAAGUUAUAUUGUGUUUCCAACUAUGUCACAAAUAGAAUAAGAAAGCCUUGGCAAGUAGAGAAAUCUAAUUUAGUAUCAAAGAAGCGAUAUCUCAUGUCAUGUACCAUUUAGUGUCAUGUCUUUAUGCAAGAUCGUUAAUUUAGAAAACUAAAGAAGUUUUAACCAGAUUUAGAUAUGGAUUUCAUUUGCUAAAUAUUCUGUUUAGCCUCACUCAUGUGGUUACUGAGGUGGACUUUAGGGAUGUUUGAGGGCUGAAUUUUUAUAGUCGUAAAUAUUAGAUACAGAGUGAGUAUAAUGGAAUGUUGGCAAAAAUUACAUGGAAAGUGGUUUUAUGUGGGGUUGGCCAGUCCCAAGAGUGAGAUUCUCUCACUGAUAGCCUUUAUUUGAAAUGGUUAUUCCUUCUUUGUUGCCUUCCAUCAAUCACUACAAUACCUAUCCUUGAAUAUCCAUUGAAGAAAACAACAUUGUUAAUGGGACCACAACCGUGUUCUUUCAUGCUUGGAGUGCCUUUGUGGCUUUUUGUUAUUUUCACUGACAAGUUCCAAUUAGAACAUGUUCUUUUAUUGUUGGGGUAACUUUGUGGCCUUAUGAGAUUAACUCAGUUUAAUUUGAGUUAUAAGUGGGUUAGGUUUUUUUUAUGCCUCAUUACAUUUGCUGAUAAGCCGUGAAUAGUAUUACUUUUUUGAUACUUGCCAAUAACUAUUAGAAAUAAUUGUUUAUUGUCAGUUAUCUUUCUUACUUUCAAUCUUGCUUAAAGUAUAUUUAAGAGCCAAUUACUUGCCAAUAACUAUUAGAAAUAAUUGCUUAUUGCUCAUUACAUUAGUUUCUUUCAUUGCUUGGACCAGGGAUCUUGAAUUUUAAAGCACACAUUUCCUCAUUCUGUUUAUAAUUCUAUAGUUUUAUUUAUUCAGAUAUAUGGUUAUUAUUAAAUGAAUUGAGGCUUUAUAUUUCAUAUUUAGUGUUGGACAUUGCAAUUCUGGAUUCAGCUUUUGACUUUUCUGGUGUUACUGGAUUCAAAUAUUCACUGAUGCUUCUGCAUUUCUUUUUUCUGCUUAAUUUUGUAUUUUGGAAUUAGAGUUGAUUGUUAGAAUUUAGAACCUCUUGAGUCUCCAUCACCAAUAAAAUGUGUAAAUUACAAGUUACUAGAACCUGUGGAAACAUUUCAUGUGGAAAAGUUGAAUUACUCCCUUUUGGAGAAAGUAGAAGCUAAGGUGCAUUACAUCACUCUGCUUUUCUAACUGCAAAAGGCUGAAUUGAAGGUGGUUUUUGUUUUUAUUUCUUCUUUUUCUGGAGCUUUCCUACUUUCCCUUACUAGGAAAAUGUGAUCCAACACUUGCCUAAUAUUUCUAUGAUUACAGUAUAACAUACAUUUCAGAGAAUUUAAGAGUCAAUAAGGAAGCCACUAAUCAAGAAAUUUAUGUAUUAGCUAUUCAAAGGUUAUGUUUUCAUGAUGUAUUUUCUUGCUGUGAUUUCCAAUACAAGGUCCUUAUGGGAUAGUUUUAUGCUAUAGGGACACAGUAGGGGAUCUCCUAAAGAUAACAAGAAUCUCCACGAAGAAAUUGAAACCACAUAAUACUCCUCAUGCAGCCAUAACAUUGAAGUAAAAGAUCAGGUGCCUUGGGGAUGAAAUAUGUGUUUGCUGAGAGUUGGGCUUCAGAAUAUCUAAAUGUCAUCUUAUCCAAAUGGCCAAUUGAGAGGUGGAAAGUUCCAGAAUGCUGAUAAGGUUGAUGAUUUCAGGUUCCUUCUUCCUCUUAUAUUUCCAUUGAAAAAUUGACACUUUCCAUUUUUCAUCAUGAAAGUAGUUAGUUAAGAUUUUUGUUAAAAAAGACUGCAAUAAGAAGUGUUUAUGUGUUGCAAGAAUGUGUUGAAGGCCUCAAUUAUUGUGCAGGAGAAUCAGAAAAUGAAACUGUUUAGAUCAUCAUGAAUUGUGGUCAUGUAUUUACUCUUUCUCACAUUAAGCUACCUAUGAGUUACACUUGCAGGGAUACACAUAGUUCUCAUUCUUCUUCAUAGGGACUUUUGUAUCAUGCAGCAACGGAAAACCAAAGGAGCUUAAGGAUUUUAAUGAGAUAAAACAUUCUUGGAUUUUGGAUAAGAUGUGAAUCUCACUCCUUCUACAGAGAAAGUAAGACAAGGAUCAUGAAAGUGUUCGCAAAAUUUGAAAAGUUGUGAUCAUUUUUCCAUUGGAACAAUUCAUUGCAGUAUGUUUUCCAUUGGAACCCUUCAUUGCAGAAAUUGAAGCUCUAUUGCAUGAACUUGAUGAGGAAGAGAUGCAAAUGGAUGAAUUAGCAAAGAGGACUAUAGAAGUUGAAAGAAUCCAUUCCUUGAGGUGUUGAUGCUGUUAAACCUGUUGAAAAUGGCUCAUGACAAACUGCAGCUUUUAAACGUGCUGAAAAUAUUUAUACAGAUAUAGAAUAGUUGGUUGGUUGUCUCAUACAACUAUUGGUAGAUAGGGAUAAUGAGUAAUAGCUUUAGUGUGAUGGUGUUAGAUGAUCAUAUGUGAGGGAAUUGGAUAAAGGGAUAUUUGAAGGAAGGUGAUCAUGAAAAGGCUACAUAUUCUCAUUUGAUACUGUGCCGAAAAACAAAAGACUUAGACAUGAUAUGAAUAAUAUUGUUAAACUAUAUUUCACCUUAAAAAAAAAGAAUCUACUUUAAUAAAGAGAUAUUAUAAGUGUGAAUAUCACACAAGCUCUAAUUUCAAAAUUUUAACUUUAAUCUCUUUGGCCAAGGUUAAUCAAUUUUUUUGAUUGUGUGAUUGCUAAAUCAUUGUCUAUACUGUUAUGCUUUUUUUUUUAAUUA